rnacentral:tRNA from 1 species
UGCUCGAAUAGCUCAGUUGGCUUGAGUGUGUAGCUGUUAACCAUAAGGUCGGAGGUUCAAGCCCUCCUACUAGCGU